rnacentral:rRNA from 1 species
UUCCGUAGGGGUGACCUGCGGAGGGAUCAUUGCUGGAACGCGCCCCAGGCGCACCCAGAAACCCUUUGUGAACUUAUACCUUACUGUUGCCUCGGCGCAUGCUGGCCCCCUCGGGGUCCCUCGGAGACAAGGAGCAGGCACGCCGGCGGCCAAGUUAACUCUUGUUUUUACACUGAAACUCUGAGAAAAAACACAAAUGAAUCAAAACUUUCAACAACGGAUCUCUUGGUUCUGGCAUCGAUGAAGAACGCAGCGAAAUGCGAUAAGUAAUGUGAAUUGCAGAAUUCAGUGAAUCAUCGAAUCUUUGAACGCACAUUGCGCCCUCUGGUAUUCCGGAGGGCAUGCCUGUUCGAGCGUCAUUUCAACCCUCAAGCAUUGCUUGGUGUUGGGGCACUGCCUGUAAAAGGGCAGGCCCUGAAAUCUAGUGGCGAGCUCGCCAGGACCCCGAGCGCAGUAGUUAAACCCUCGCUCUGGAAGGCCCUGGCGGUGCCCUGCCGUUAAACCCCCAACUUCUGAAAAUUGACCUCGGAUCAGGCUCGUAGGCAACUGGC